GAUGAAGAACGUAGCGAAAUGCGAUAAGUAGUGUGAAUUGCAGAAUUCAGUGAAUCAUCGAAUCUUUGAACGCACAUUGCGCCCCUUGGUAUCCCGAGGGGCAUGCCUGUUCGAGCGUCAUUUCACCACUCAAGCCUGGCUUGGUGUUGGGCGACGUCCUCUUUGGGGACGCGCCUCGAAACGCUCGGCGGCGUGGCACCGGCUUUAAGCGUAGCAGAAUCUUUCGCUUUGGAAGUCGGGGCCCCGUCUGCCGGAAGACCUGCUCGCAAGGUUGACCUCGGAUCAGGCAGGGAUACCCGCUGAUCUUAAGCAUAUCAAUAAGCGGAGGA
rnacentral:misc_RNA from 1 species